rnacentral:tRNA from 1 species
GCUUUCAUGGUGUAAGGGUAGCACACUUGUCGCGUAUUCAAGAGGUCCAGGUUCGAGUCCCGGCAAGGGCU